rnacentral:rRNA from 1 species
GGUUAAGCGACUAAGCGUACACGGUGGAUGCCCUGGCAGUCAGAGGCGAUGAAGGACGUGCUAAUCUGCGAUAAGCGUCGGUAAGGUGAUAUGAACCGUUAUAACCGGCGAUUUCCGAAUGGGGAAACCCAGUGUGUUUCGACACACUAUCAUUAACUGAAUCCAUAGGUUAAUGAGGCGAACCGGGGGAACUGAAACAUCUAAGUACCCCGAGGAAAAGAAAUCAACCGAGAUUCCCCCAGUAGCGGCGAGCGAACGGGGAGCAGCCCAGAGCCUGAAUCAGUGUGUGUGUUAGUGGAAGCGUCUGGAAAGGCGCGCGAUACAGGGUGACAGCCCCGUACACAAAAAUGCACAUGCUGUGAGCUCGAUGAGUAGGGCGGGACACGUGGUAUCCUGUCUGAAUAUGGGGGGACCAUCCUCCAAGGCUAAAUACUCCUGACUGACCGAUAGUGAACCAGUACCGUGAGGGAAAGGCGAAAAGAACCCCGGCGAGGGGAGUGAAAAAGAACCUGAAACCGUGUACGUACAAGCAGUGGGAGCACGCUUAGGCGUGUGACUGCGUACCUUUUGUAUAAUGGGUCAGCGACUUAUAUUCUGUAGCAAGGUUAACCGAAUAGGGGAGCCGAAGGGAAACCGAGUCUUAACUGGGCGUUAAGUUGCAGGGUAUAGACCCGAAACCCGGUGAUCUAGCCAUGGGCAGGUUGAAGGUUGGGUAACACUAACUGGAGGACCGAACCGACUAAUGUUGAAAAAUUAGCGGAUGACUUGUGGCUGGGGGUGAAAGGCCAAUCAAACCGGGAGAUAGCUGGUUCUCCCCGAAAGCUAUUUAGGUAGCGCCUCGUGAAUUCAUCUCCGGGGGUAGAGCACUGUUUCGGCAAGGGGGUCAUCCCGACUUACCAACCCGAUGCAAACUGCGAAUACCGGAGAAUGUUAUCACGGGAGACACACGGCGGGUGCUAACGUCCGUCGUGAAGAGGGAAACAACCCAGACCGCCAGCUAAGGUCCCAAAGUCAUGGUUAAGUGGGAAACGAUGUGGGAAGGCCCAGACAGCCAGGAUGUUGGCUUAGAAGCAGCCAUCAUUUAAAGAAAGCGUAAUAGCUCACUGGUCGAGUCGGCCUGCGCGGAAGAUGUAACGGGGCUAAACCAUGCACCGAAGCUGCGGCAGCGACGCUGAUGCGUUGUUGGGUAGGGGAGCGUUCUGUAAGCCUGCGAAGGUGUGCUGUGAGGCAUGCUGGAGGUAUCAGAAGUGCGAAUGCUGACAUAAGUAACGAUAAAGCGGGUGAAAAGCCCGCUCGCCGGAAGACCAAGGGUUCCUGUCCAACGUUAAUCGGGGCAGGGUGAGUCGACCCCUAAGGCGAGGCCGAAAGGCGUAGUCGAUGGGAAACAGGUUAAUAUUCCUGUACUUGGUGUUACUGCGAAGGGGGGACGGAGAAGGCUAUGUUGGCCGGGCGACGGUUGUCCCGGUUUAAGCGUGUAGGCUGGUUUUCCAGGCAAAUCCGGAAAAUCAAGGCUGAGGCGUGAUGACGAGGCACUACGGUGCUGAAGCAACAAAUGCCCUGCUUCCAGGAAAAGCCUCUAAGCAUCAGGUAACAUCAAAUCGUACCCCAAACCGACACAGGUGGUCAGGUAGAGAAUACCAAGGCGCUUGAGAGAACUCGGGUGAAGGAACUAGGCAAAAUGGUGCCGUAACUUCGGGAGAA